AGGACGAACGCUGGCGGCGUGCUUAACACAUGCAAGUCGAGCGGUAAGGCUCCUUCGGGAGUACACGAGCGGCGAACGGGUGAGUAACACGUGAGGAACCUGCCCUGGACUUUGGGAUAACCCUCGGAAACGGGGGCUAAUACCGAAUACGACUACUGGCCGCAUGGUUGGUGGUGGAAAGUUUUUCGGUCUGGGAUGGUCUCGCGGCCUAUCAGCUUGUUGGUGGGGUAAUGGCCUACCAAGGCGACGACGGGUAG
rnacentral:rRNA from 1 species